rnacentral:rRNA from 1 species
AGUGAACGCUGGCGGUAGGCCUAACACAUCUAAGUCGAACGGCAGCACAGUAAGAGCUUGCCCUUACGGGUGGCGAGUGGCGGACGGGUGAGGAAUACAUCGGAAUCUACUUUUUCGUGGGGGAUAACGUAGGGAAACUUACGCUAAUACCGCAUACGCCCUACGGGUGAAAGCAGGGGAUCUUCGGACCUUGCGUGAUUGAAUGAGCCGAUGUCGGAUUAGCUAGUUGGCGGGGUAAAGGCCCACCAAGGCGACGAUCCGUAACUGGACUGAGUAGAUGAUCAGUCACACUGGUACUCAGACAAGGUCCAGACACCUACGGGAGGCAGCAGUGGGGAAUAUUGGACAAUGGGCGCAAGCCUAGACCAGCCAUAACGCGUAGGUGGAGAAGGCCUUCGGGUUGUAAAGCUCUUUUGUUGGGGAAGAAAAGCAGCAGGUUAAUACACCGAUGUUCUGACGGUACCCAAAGAAUAAGCACCGGCUAACUUCGUG